GUCAGCGAAAAGUGCCGGUGAGUCCCGCCCAACGAGGGAGGUCUAUAAUUUUGCUAAUGACACCGCGUAUUGAAGAUUCAUAUCCACAUGCCCCAGUGGGGUGGAGCGAGGUAUGUUUUUCUCCACAGGAGUUGGGUCACGUAAUUAAUACAUUAUUCUCAGAAGCGCUAGCAGAAGGAGACUGGAUAUGAAAGCCGACACACUUGAAAAGGUGAACCAAUAGGAGAGGCACAGCCGAGUCACCAUGAGAAAACGUAGCAGUCCUUGAAACAAAAGAUAAACCCAAGCCAAUCUCUGUGAGAAAGAUGAUCAUGAGAAGAGACAAGAAAGCGGGAUUUCCCAAACAGUACAAGCUGAGGUGCAACCUAACACAAAUUUGCUAUGGUUGGCUUGGCAGUUUUGUCUUUCAUUCUUUUCGUAUUAGCCGCCAUCUUGCCGUUUAUCUUGUUGAAAGCCAGAAAAAAAGAGGAUACUUGAAUCCAGAGAGGAGGUGGAAGAAGAAGAGGAUGAUCCCCUGUACACACUGUGGGUGGUCCACGACCGAGUGAUAACGACAUCAAGGUCCCAAACGUCAAACAGACCGCUGAUUCUACAGCAAUGCCGCUGGCU